CGCAAAAGGUAUAAAUACGGAUGCGUUCCACCGCUUCGGUCUUUUAUCCGGAAGCUUGAGCCGUCUCGUGUUUCGUGUUGAAUUCUUUUAGGAUUCCAAACAACUUGUCCAGGGAGAGAAGAGCCACACUUCUGGGCAUCAGCUCCUUUAUUUAGCAAGAGUUGGUAAAGAAUUUUCCUUUUAAAAACACAUUUAAAAAAUUUUUGGGAUUCACAAGGUUUGGGGUUUUUUAGAACAAUGUAUUUCUGAUGUAAAAUGUUAAAACAGUUCUAAAAAUUCAUGUAUUGUGAAUUGAAAUAAAGGUGACU